rnacentral:rRNA from 1 species
GACGUAGGGCGCGAGCGUUGUCCGGAUUUAUUGGGCGUAAAGAGCUCGUAGGCGGCUUGUCGCGUCGUCCGUGAAAACCUGCGGCUCAACUGCAGGCUGGCGGUCGAUACGGGCAGGCUGGAGUUCGGUAGGGAAGACUGGAAUUCCUGGUGUAGCGGUGAAAUGCGCAGAUAUCAGGAGGAACACCUGAGGUGAAGACGGGUUGCUGGGCUGACACUGACGCUGAGGCGCGAAAGCCAGGGGAGCAAACGGG